CUUAUUAAAAGUGUACCUUUCUUUAUUUUGCUUUACACGGAAAAACUGAUAGUACGCAAAUUAUUUAAUUGCCAUUUUACUAAUUAGUUUGGCCGCAAAGUUUCGGUUCAGUAAUAGAACUACGUUAUAUUUCCAGCAAUAUAAACAAAACUGCACUUCAGACGUAAUAUUCUCUUUAUAUUGAAAAGCGUUCAUGUGCCUUAUUUUACACAUAUCGUUCGUAGUCGUCACUACAUAAAUCAAUUAUCAACAGUCAAUAACGCUGUGAAGACAUAAUAUAUCUUAUUUUAAACUUUAAAACAUCUUCUUUCUCAAAAAUAUAAACCACCAAAGAUUUUCUAUACACUUACUCGUUUUGCGUUCAAUACUACAGUAUGCGUUUUACAGUCGAUUUCACAAAACUUUGACCACAAAUGUUCCGAAUUUCGUUGCGAAGUUCGGAAGUUCAUACUGGGAAUUCACAAGCCACUUUGUAAACAAAGUCCCUGAUUGGUCCCAGAAGUGAAAGAAGCCAAUCAAAUGCGUAGUUUACAAACUGGUUUGCGAAUCCAAAUCUCAUUACAGUAUGAACUCUUGAACUUCGCAGCGAACUGCGUUCGGAACAUUUGUCACGUCAAAGUUAUAUCUGAAAUUGACUGUAAAACUCGGGAAAACUGAAAACACAUAUAUUAAACCCAAAAAUAUAUUAAACCCAAAAAUAUAUAACUACCAUUUCUUUAAGUUCCAAUAUAACCCCAAAUAUGACUUGUGCGAUGUGUAAUAAUUUGGGACUUCGGUAGCGCUGAACAAGCGCCUUUCACUUUGGUGUGUUCCAUUGCCUUGCUGCCCACGCGUGUGAAAAGAGUCAGUCAACGCGUGGGUUUCGAAAGUCGUCUAGUCCACAAGGAAAGUCGACAUGGUGGAUCAGGAUAAACACAGUUAAUAAAGUGGUAUAAAAAAAUUAAUACUUGAUGAAAAGCGCAUUUGAUCUGAUAUCACGCACGGGCAUGUUAGCCUGCCGCGCAGUAUGUAAAUUUGCGCGGAUGGUAAAUAUUCUUUCAUCUUUUUUUAUCAGUAAACGUUUUGCCAAUUCUCAAACAAGUCAACCUUUAGAAAUCACCCUUUUGUUGUAAACACCCAAACCUCAUUACCUGUGGGAGUUUAGAAAGCAUUGUAAUCGUGAAAAUUCUAAUUGAAAGUUGAAACGACUUAGAAAUUAAAUCCCGUCAGUUCGAUGAAAAGUGGUUCAACCGUGUUCGUUCUUUUUGGCUUGUUUAAUAGAACUAUUAACAAUUAACGCAUUUAUAAUGAGUAUUGCAAGUAGUAAUGCAAGUAGUAAAGCAAAUCAGUUAAAACGGAAUUUGCAUUACCAACAAUGAGUGUCUCAUAUUACACCACAAAGCUUUUCGCGCGGAUUAUAUUUCGCGCAGUACUAAAAUUCGCGCACCCAGCGCUGCGCGAAUUCUAGUACUGCGCGAAUCAUUUUAAUACAAGUAAGGUAUACGCUUUAAAAUUAUCAACAUGAGUGAACGAUUCUUUCACAUAAUUCUAAAGCUAUAAACUACAGGGUGUCCCAAAAAACCAAAACUCCUGAAAUAACGUAUUGUUAGAAUUUGAAUGCCCCAGCACAAAU